rnacentral:rRNA from 1 species
UACCAGCACCCCGAGUGGUCGGGACGUUUAUUGGGCCUAAAGCAUCCGUAGCCGGUUCUACAAGUCUUCCGUUAAAUCCAGCUGCUUAACAGAUGGGCUGCGGAAGAUACUAUGGAGCUAGGAGGCGGGAGAGGCAAGCGGUACUCGAUGGGUAGGGGUAAAAUCCGUUGAUCCAUUGAAGAACACCGGUGGCGAAGGCGGCCUGCUGGGCAGUAGCUGACGCUGAUGCGCGACAGCGUGGGGAGCAAACAGG